rnacentral:rRNA from 1 species
GAUGAACGCUGGCGGUCUGCUUAACACAUGCAAGUCGAACGGGAUGCUUUCGGGCAUUUAGUGGCGGACGGGUUGAGUAACGCGUGUAGAAUCUGUCCCCUUUAGAGCGGGACAACGACUGGAAACGGUCGCCAAUACCGACAAUGAGCCGAGAGGUAAAAGGAUUAAUUGCUAAGGGAUGAGCUCGCGUCGGAUUAGCUAGUUGGUGGGGUAAGAGCCUACCAAGGCAGUGAUCCGUAGCUGGUCUGAGAGGAUGACCAGCCACACUGGGACUGAGACACGGCCCAGACUCCUACGGGAGGCAGCAGUGGGGAAUUUUCCGCAAUGGGCGUAAAGCCUUGACGGAGCAAGUACCCGCGUGGGGAGGAA